AUCAUCUAGUAAUUAUGUAUGCAUCGUCUAUUUUUGUAUGUUUUAUU
rnacentral:sRNA from 1 species